rnacentral:rRNA from 1 species
AUUGACCUCGAAAUCAGGUAG